UGAGGAAUAUUGGUCAAUGGGCGCAAGCCUGAACCAUCCAUCCCGCGUGAAGGAUGAAGGCCCUAUGGGUCGUAAACUUCUUUUAUACACCAAGAAAGAGCAGGACGUGUCCUGCCCCGACGGUAGUGUAUGAAUAAGCAUCGGCUAACUCCGUGCCAGCAGCCGCGGUAAUACGGAGGAUGCGAGCGUUAUCCGGAUUCAUUGGGUUUAAAGGGUGCGUAGGCGGCUUUUUAAGUCAGUGGUGAAAUCUUGCCGCUUAACGGUAAAAUUGCCAUUGAUACUGAUAAGCUUGAGUACAAUUGAGGUAAGCGGAAUGUGUAGGGUAGCGGUGAAAUGCUUAGAUAUUACACAGAACACCGAUUGCGAAGGCAAUCCCCUGGACCUGUACUGACGCUCAUGCACGAAAGCGUGGGGAGCAAACA
rnacentral:rRNA from 1 species